GACAGGGGUCUCGAGCGUUAAUCGGAAUUACUGGGCUUAAAGGGUGCGUAGGUGGGUCCGCAAGUGCCUUGUGAAAUCCCCCCGGCUCAACCGGGGAACUGCGGGGCAUACUGCGGGUCUGAGGAAGGUAGGCGCCGAGGGAACAGUAGGUGGAGCGGUGAAAUGCGUAGAUAUCUACUGGAACGCCGAUGGUGAAGACGCUCGGCUGGGGCCUUUCCUGACACUGAGGCACGAAAGCGUGGGGAGCAAACAGGG
rnacentral:rRNA from 1 species